rnacentral:rRNA from 1 species
GAACUACUGCGAAAGCAUUUGCCAAGGAUGUUUUCAUUAAUCAAGAACGAAAGUUGGGGGCUCGAAGACGAUUAGAUACCGUCGUAGUCUCAACCAUAAACGAUGCCGACUAGGGAUUGGAGGAUGUUCUUUUGAUGACUUCUCCAGCACCUUAUGAGAAAUCAAAGUUUUUGGGUUCCGGGGGGAGUAUGGUCGCAAGGCUGAAACUUAAAGGAAUUGACGGAAGGGCACCACCAGGCGUUGAGAUUGCUCCAGCGCCUAAUAGCAGCUCCGUGCUGCUAGUCGAGCCGGAUUCGGCUCGGCUACACUGUCAAAUUGCCGGAAAACCCUGCAAAGCUGUCGGUACCGCUCUGCUAGCGAAAGCUUGGCGAGCACCGAAUGCGAGAGCAUUCGGGUAUGGUAACAAUUCGACAGAUAAGGGCAAUCGGCAGCCAAGUCCCCUCGUGGGAUGCAGUUCACAGACUAAAUGGCAGUGGGCGAAUCGCAUAUAUGAUUCGUCUAAGAUAUAGUCGGCCCCCAUCGAAAGGUGGCCUCUAGGAGGAAGCUGGUACCACCAGCAGAGAGCCUAGAGGAAGCAGCUGUUGCUGCUUGGAACAAGCGGGAGCCUGCGGCUUAAUUUGACUCAACACGGGAAAACUUACCAGGUCCAGACAUAGUGAGGAUUGACAGAUUGAGAGCUCUUUCUUGAUUCUAUGGGUGAACAAGUGUUCUAAGCACUGACUGCCCAUUAAAGCUGGUUCCUUCGAAUCAGCUAGUCGGCUUAAUUAGCUGGCGAGACCAUCGAACUGCGGGAAAGCCCUUAGAGCCAAGCGCUACCAAGUCGAGCUGCUGAAAAGCCUCGAUGGCCUAGGUUAACUGCCUGGGGUACGGUCGCAAUGCGCUUGGAUUGGGCAAUUCGCAGCCAAGCCCCUGUCGAAUGGGGAAGGUUCAGAGACUAGGUGGUGGUCGGUUCCCUGGUCCAGGGAGCUUAAGAUAGAGUCCGACUCUACCGAAAAGGUAGCUUCGAGAGGAAGGUGCACUCGGCACCGAGGCUCGAAGGGCUCGCGAUUGCAGCGAGCUAGA